rnacentral:rRNA from 1 species
CCUACGGGAGGCAGCAGUGGGGAAUAUUGGGCAAUGGGCGCAAGCCUGACCCAGCAACGCCGCGUGAAGGAAGAAGGCUUUCGGGUUGUAAACUUCUUUUGUCAGGGACGAAGCAAGUGACGGUACCUGACGAAUAAGCCACGGCUAACUACGUGCCAGCAGCCGCGGUAAUACGGAGGUGGCAAGCGUUAUCCGGAUUUACUGGGUGUAAAGGGCGUGUAGGCGGGACGGCAAGUCAGAUGUGAAAACCACGGGCUCAACCUGUGGACUGCAUUUGAAACUGGAGUUCUUGAGUACUGGAGAGGCAGACGGAAUUCCUGGUGUAGCGGUGAAAUGCGUAGAUAUUAGGAGGAACACCAGUGGCGAAGGCGGUCUGCUGGACAGUAACUGACGCUGAGGCGCGAAAGCGUGGGGAGCAAACAGGAUUAGAUACCCGAGUAGUC